rnacentral:lncRNA from 1 species
GCUGCAGUGGCGGGGAGUGGGGUGCGGAUCUUGUGUUUGCGCACGCAGUCGCCGGCCACCUCAGGCCGGAGCUAGAGAUACGGCUCGGGAUAGGAGGGCCCGGCGGCUCUGAGGCAGGUUCGCCUCGAGCCGCACGGCCCGGAGCAGCGGCUCCGCGGUGGUCCCCGGGGCUUGAGAGGGGUGCGGGCCUGGGAGCCCCUGAGGGCCUGAUUUACGGAACUCCCCCUCCUUCCUCCUUUCUGCCGUUCCCUGCUCUGUGGCGGAUGCGCAGGGAUCAGUAGGGACGGCAGCAGUAGGGCCACUCGGGCCUGCCCCGCUUCCCGCAUUGCCCGGUUUGGCGCGCCGCCUCCGGGCCUUGGCAAAGCCCCAGCGCCCGAUUGUCACUGACCAGUGCUUGGAAGUCCUUUACCGACUGCCCGUCAGCGUCCCGCGGAGAGGAUUUUGCGUCUCCAAAGACGCCCCUCUUCCGAAAACAGGCUCCUCUGUGUUCUCAGUCGGGUAUAUUUUUCUGUCUCCAAACUAGAUUGGCAGCCGUUUUUUGAGAGCAGGAUGGCACCUGACUUGAAGAUAGCACCUGACUUGAAGAUGGCACCUGACUAGCAUUUGGACUGGUUUGCAGGCUGAGCACAGGGUUGCUCCAGGUGGGCCCAAAUGCUGAAGAGCCUCAUGUUAGAGUUUUUCACCUCUGCGAUGGAACUGUGGUGGACUCCAGUAUCAUCAUUCCAGGGAGGCAUAGCCGCACCAACUGUGUUCCCAGGUUUCACAUGGAGAAGGGUUUUAGAAAGUGCAGAUAGCCUUGAAACCAUUGGUUUCCUACCACUGUUUAUUUCAGCAUAACUUUUUUUGUGUGGAAUGCUAGCUCUGGAAGAGCAGAAAUAAAUACAGCUUAAGCUUUGAACCAU